UCAACAACAAUCACAUAAAAAACAACAUUCACAUAAACAACAGUAAUCACAAAUAAAAAAUUAAUAAAAAACUCAACAAUUUUAAAAAUUUAUCCCAGAAGAAGGAUGGAAGAACGAUUUCGAGCAGGAGGUGGAGCAAUGGUGAAGGCACCUUGGAGCUGAAAUAAAGAAGAAGAAAAGAAGUUAAGAAAAAUAAUAAGAUAUAGAGAAGAAAAAGGGAAAAAGAAGAGACAACCAACGAUGACGGAAAUGAGACUGGGCAGUGAAACUAAGAGGUGAGGCGACGGAGGUAGCGAAGGCGGGAGACUCACGGUGGACUUUAAGCUCAAAUGAAGAUGAAGAUCAAAAUGUUAGCAAAAGUAAGAGAAGAGAAGAGAUGAGGAACGGAGAAGCAAAAGCAAACCGACGAUGAAGACAAGCCAGAGCAGUGACGACAGACGACACAACAACGGAGAGUUAAAAUGCAGAGAAUGUGAGUGUGAAAGGGGGAGAGCGAGGAGAGUAAGUUUCAAAGUGAGAAGAAAUUAGGGUUUCUCAAUUUU
rnacentral:lncRNA from 1 species